AGAGUUUGAUCCUGGCUCAGAAUGAACGUUGGCGGCGUGGAUUAGGCAUGCAAGUCGAGCGAGAACCCGCAAGGGGGACAGCGGCGAACGGGGUAGGAAUACGUAGGUAACGUACCCUCGGGGCGAGGACAGCCACGGGAAACUGUGGGUAAUACUCGAUAAACUUCCCAAUCAUUAUGGAAGGGGAAGCAAUGGGUGUGAUCCCACCUGAGGAGCGGCUUACGCAGUAUCAGCUAGUUGGUGAGGUAACGGCUCACCAAGGCUACGACGCUUAGGGGGUGUGAGAGCAUGGCCCCCACCACUGGCACUGAGACACUGGCCAGACACCUACGGGUGGCUGCAGUCGAGAAUCUUCGGCAAUGGACGCAAGUCUGACCGAGCGACGCCGCGUGUGGGAUGAAGGCCUUCGGGUUGUAAACCACUGUCAGAGGGGAUGAAGUGUACGAGAGUUAUCUCUUGUAUUUGACAGAGCCUCAGAGGAAGCACGGGCUAAGUUCGUG
rnacentral:rRNA from 1 species